rnacentral:rRNA from 1 species
CUGGCCGUAAACGAUGAAGACUAGGUGUCAGCGGUAUCGACCCCGCUGGUGCCGGAGCUAACGCGUGAAGUCUUCCGCCUGGGGAGUACGGCCGCAAGGUUGAAACUCAAAGGAAUUGACGGGGGCCCGCACAAGCGGUGGAGUAUGUGGUUUAAUUCGAUGCAACGCGAAGAACCUUACCAGGGCUUGACAUCCCGGGAACCGGCCUGAAAGGGUUGGGUGCCCGCAAGGGAGCCCGGAGACAGGUGG